rnacentral:lncRNA from 1 species
AACCUCAAAGUAUCAAAUAUUAUUCAAGUCGCAAUGGUCUCAUGCAUAAGAUCACCAAAUCUAAACUUUCACUACUUGUUUUAAAAGUGUGUUGAAUUUUUCCCCAUGCUGGUAGCACACACAAUUGAAUAUAGUAUAUAUCACUCGAGCAAAUGAUUUAUUUCCAUAGGCAAACAUGUCAAUUAGUACAAAAGGAAACACCAAAAAAAGAGAAAAAGAAAAUACUCAAUUUCACUACACACGAUCAACAAGCAGAAUCGAAAUUCAUCCUCACCUUCCCCACUCGGCUUUAACUUCAAUAACACAGCUCCCUAUCAAAAACAAAACUCCAGAGACUAAGCUGCACAUCCACAGACAAUAUACAAAAGAAUGAUUAGAGUUCAUUAAUGUUAUUAAUAUAGAUAAUAUAGUCUAUGACAUGAAUUCAUUAUUGCACAAGACAGUUUAAUAUGUGUUGAAUUAAGCAUCAUAAGAUAGUAAUUACCUGCAACUCCUUUACCUUGUCUGCUUUUCCAAGAAUAUCUGUUUCUGCAAACACUUUCUUAGUAAGAGUUUGCAAAAUUUGCUAUGUGGAUGUGUGUGAGAGAGAGAACUGAUGCAAACUGAACAAGGGUUCACAAAAUUGGCUGUGUGUGUGAGAGAGAGAGAGAGAGAGAAUUGGUGCAAACUGAACAAAAGUUUACUAAAUUUUCUGUGUGUGUGUGAGAGAGUGAGAAUUGCUGCAAACUUAACAAGGCUUUACAAAAGUUGCUAUGUGUGUGAGAUUAUGUGUGCUUGAGAGAGAAUUAAUUGGUGCAAAUUGAACAAGAGUUGACAAAAUUUAUCUGUAGAUCUAACUUCUAAGUCUUUGUUUUUCAAUUUUUAAAUAGAAUUCAAUCUCAUCGAAGCAUCUUUACGCGUGAACAUGUGGUAGCUUGCAUGAACAAGACAAUUUAUCAUAACAAUAUUUGAAAUACUAAUAUGUUUUCUAUCACACGAAUUGUUUUAUUAUCAACAAGGCAGCACAUUAUCUUGUCUUCUUCCUUCUUCAUUCAAUAAUUCUCCCUCAUUAUUCUACUGUAUGCAUUAAACACUUAUUCUAUGUGAGGGCAACAACUCUGUGACCAUUUCUCAACCACUCCGACGACGAAAACUCAAUAAUAAGGUUUAAAAAAUGAUAAGCUGAUUCAUCAUUAGCUGGCAUAAUGAAAUGUUCAAAUUAAGGGGCCUUAAGCCGAUAAGAGUUCAUUAAUUUUAUUAAUAGAGAUAAUAUAGUCAAUGAUAUGAAUGCAUUAUUGUACAAGGCAGUUUAUAUGUGUCGAAUUAAGCAUCAUAAUUAAGAUAGUAUAAUUACCUGCAACUCCUCUAUCU